CCUAACACAUGCAAGUCGAACGGUAACAGGAAACAGCUUGCUGUUUCGCUGACGAGUGGCGGACGGGUGAGUAAUGUCUGGGAAACUGCCUGAUGGAGGGGGAUAACUACUGGAAACGGUAGCUAAUACCGCAUAACGUCGCAAGACCAAAGAGGGGGACCCUCGGGCCUCUUGCCAUCGGAUGUGCCCAGAUGGGAUUAGCUUGUUGGUGGGGUAACGGCUCACCAAGGCGACGAUCCCUAGCUGGUCUGAGAGGAUGACCAGCCACACUGGAACUGAGACACGGUCCAGACUCCUACGGGAGGCAGCAGUGGGGAAUAUUGCACAAUGGGCGCAAGCCUGAUGCAGCCAUGCCGCGUGUAUGAAGAAGGCCUUCGGGUUGUAAGACG
rnacentral:rRNA from 1 species